GCCUUUUCUUAGACCUGUGCAAGGCUUAUUUUAAGCAGAGCUUCAGGGUGGGAACACAGCAGAGCACUUAGUUUAGGUUUGUGCCGCAGUUAUCUGAGAAAGGGUUU
rnacentral:SRP_RNA from 1 species